CAUGCAGUUCGAGCGGAGCGAUGGGAAGCCUUUGCUUCCCUUUAGGUUCAGCGGCGGACGGGUGAGUAACACGUGGGUAACCUGCCUGUAAGACUGGGAUAACUCCGGGAAACCGGGGCUAAUACCGGAUGCUUGAUUGAACCGCAUGGUUCAAUCAUAAAAGGUGGCUUUUAGCUACCACUUACAGAUGGACCCGCGGCGCAUUAGCUAGUUGGUGAGGUAACGGCUCACCAAGGCGACGAUGCGUAGCCGACCUGAGAGGGUGAUCGGCCACACUGGGACUGAGACACGGCCCAGACUCCUACGGGAGGCAGCAGUAGGGAAUCUUCCGCAAUGGACGAAAGUCUGACGGAGCAACGCCGCGUGAGUGAUGAAGGUUUUCGGAUCGUAAAACUCUGUUGUUAGGGAAGAACAAGUACCGUUCGAAUAGGGCGGUACCUUGACGGUACCUAACCAGAAAGCCACGGCUAACUACGUGCCAGCAG
rnacentral:rRNA from 1 species